GAUGAACGCUAGCUACAGGCUUAACACACGCAAGUCGAGGGGAAAUGACAUCGAAAGCUUGCUUUUGAUGGGCGUCGACCGGCGCACGGGUGAGUAACGCGUAUCCAACCUGCCCACCACUUGGGGAUAACCUUGCGAAAGUAAGACUAAUACCUAAUGACGUCUCUAGAAGACAUCUGAAAGAGAUUAAAGAUUUAUCGGUGAUGGAUGGGGAUGCGUCUGAUUAGCUUGUUGGCGGGGUAACGGCCCACCAAGGCGACGAUCAGUAGGGGUUCCGAGGGGAAGCUCCCCCACAUUGGAACUGAGACCCGGUCCAAUCUCCGACCGGAGGCAGCUGUGAGUAAUAUUGGUCACUGGGCGAGAGCCUGAACCAGCCAAGUAGCGUCCAGGAUGACGGCCCUAUGGGUUGUAAACUGCUUUUAUAAGGGAAUAAAGUGAGUCUCGUGAGACUUUUUGCAUGUACCUUAUGAAUAAGGACCGGCUAAUUCCGUGCCAGCCGCCGCGGUAA
rnacentral:rRNA from 1 species